rnacentral:tRNA from 1 species
GGAGGGAUGGCUCAACGGUUAAGAGCACUGACUGCUCUUCCAGAGGUCCUGAGUUCAAUUCCCAGCAACCACA